GGCGUCCUCGCGAAGGACCACGCC
rnacentral:sRNA from 1 species